CGCCUCUUGUUCAAUGAAUAUAAGAGGUCCCGCCUGCCCUGUGACCACAAGUUUAACGGCCGCGGUAUCUUGACCGUGCAAAGGUAGCGUAAUCACUUGUCUUUUAAAUGGAGACCCGUAUGAAUGGCAUAACGAGGGCUAAGCUGUCUCCUUUUCCCAGUCAAUGAAAUUGAUCUCCCCGUGCAGAAGCGGGGAUAAGAACAUAAGACGAGAAGACCCUAUGGAGCUUCAGACACAAGGCAGCCAAUGUUAAAUAACCUAGACUAAUAGAAAUAACAACAUAGUGCCUGCCCUCAUGUCUUUGGUUGGGGCGACCGCGGGGCAAUAAAAAUCCCCCACGUGGAACAGGAGCAUCCUUAAAGCCAGAGCUUCAGCUCUAACUAACAGAACAUCUGACCAAAAAGAUCCGGCAGUGCCGAUCAACGGACCGAGUUACCCUAGGGAUAACAGCGCAAUCCCCUUUCAGAGCCCAUAUCGACAAGGGGGUUUACGACCUCGAUGUUGGAUCAGGACCCCCUAAUGGUGCAGCCGCUAUUAAGGGUUCG
rnacentral:rRNA from 1 species